AAGAUUAAUUUGUCCUGUUGUAAGUGGCCAAACUGGACAGCCCAUCUGGAUCAGAUUGGUGUUACUAGCACAGGACAGCUUGUUCCCAUUUUGGCUUGCCUGGCAUUGGUACUUGCCCCCAUGUCUUACCCACGAUGGAGUUAAUAGAGCCGAGCGUCAGAUUUGCCCUUGGACACAGAAAAAGAAGAAUUUGCAAAACACUGAUUAUUUUCAUCCCUAAAGAACAGAUCACAAGAGGGUUCUGAUUUGCCUUCCUUACUUAACAAAGUCGCGCAGUGCUACUCACCAGAAGCAGCAUUUUGAUGCCUGACUCACUAUGAGAGAGUGAAUUGAAUGGAUCAUAUUGCCCUGUGGACAAUCUAAAUUCAGCACAAAAACCAGGUGAAAUGAUGAUACAAGCGGUCUUCGAGCCAUUUAAGUCACAUGUAUUUAUUUGUACUUCUAAUAGCCAGUGAAUUUUUUUGACAUGAAAAUGUUAAAUAUUGCCAAUUAACCACUGAUAUUGAA